CCCUCUCUCGCUCAGUCUCAUCGAAAACAUUCACCGGGUAGGACGUGUUUUCGUCGUCACGGCCGUUCAACGACUUUCGUGCGCAUUUGGUGUGAGUUUUGAGCUGUUGUAUGGAAGGGUAAACGUAUCGAGAGGAAGAGGGUUCAGUUGUUGUUUUCGUCCGUGCAUCGUUCGUUCCUUGACAACCCAGUGCUCAGCGCCGUGUUGUGGAAGCCUCUUCUAGCACUGUCUCCUAUGUGUCAAGGGUUGUUGUGAUCCCAAAGCAUAACUGAAAAUCAACCUGCCGGUAACACAGUCUAGAAGUGUGUAUAGUUUCCAUGAGAAUAUAAAAUUCAUUCUUACGUACGUUGGUGUAAAAAGUUGAAGUGUCCUUUCUAGGUCGCCUGUCAACGUUCGUUAAAAAUACCCAAAAUGACAAAAUAGUGCAACGGCAUGUGCAGAGCGAAUAUUGAAAACAUAACCCCACCAUGACUGCUCUUCAAGUGACCGUGAAACUAAUGAUAGUGCCCGACCGGUAGUGAGAAAAUGUGAGAAAACGCCUCUGGGAAGAAGCAUCCGAUACUGCUGUCACAAUCUGCAUGAUCAACGACCUCUUCUGUGGCGGCAAUACAAUAAAAAGUGCAUAAAGCUAAACAAUAAUCUCAUUUAUCGCGUACCUCGAGGUCACAAAAAGACGCAUUUUUUUUUAUUUUCAUCACAAAAGCAUACACAAGAAGUAUUAUUAAAGGUGUUUUCUAGUGAAUCAUUAACUUCUGUAUCAGAAACACAUCACAGUGCAAUGAUAUACGCGCCGGAUUACAAAUGACGUCUGAUAAAUCGAAUUUGGAUUAACAACGAAUGAUUUAUCACCUUUGAACGUCUAAAACUUAGAUAACAUAAUCGCAUCGACCAACGCAACCAUCGGAGAUAGUUCCUACACGUUUCAAUCGAGUAAGGACUUCCCCAUAAAGAAAACAAGUGGCUGCAUUCAACAACAAAAUAAAAACGCUAAAAGCAUAAUCUUAACAAACUAUAUCCUAAGGACUUUAACUAGAGUAACCGAAACCUUUGGAAAAUUACAAUUAUUCUUAUGCAAAAAUGAUGCAAAACGGGAUUUCCUCAAUUCAAGACGAAUGUCUUCAGCAGCUUGUCUUCUUUCUUUUUGACACUGAACAACAUGAAAUAGAAUCUUGGAAUCGAGGAAACAAACGACGAGGAUGGAUAACAAGGUGACGUUAAGUGAUUGGAAAACUUCGUUGCAUAAAGUCGAGCUGCAGAACAUUGCGAUCGUUCGGUCGUCUUUUAAAUAGAGACUUUUAAUAUCAGGAAUGAAGAAACCUCCAAUUACCAUUCUAUUUCACUAUAACACCGAUUCUAUAUCGUAUGGUGGUUAGCAAUGAAAAUGAAUAGAAUGUUUACCAGCUGUUUCAAUCACGUUGGCAGCUUCGUUCUCAUGAUGGAAUACAGUUGGGAAUACUUGAAAAGGUAAUCGAGACCGAAAAUAUUUUUUAAAAAUUGUGCAGAAAUAUCUUGGAUUAAAGAUGCCCAGGAUACAGAAGCCAAUAACAUACGUUUCUGCAUACAAAGAAACUAAGUCGUUAGAUGCUUAUGUUGGUUUUGCUUCAGGAAAAUUGUAGUAAUUACACGGUAUCUUAAAUUAAGAGUUCUAGUUGAAAGCCGAACCAUAGCAAACAGUUCUGGUUGUAUAUAACACAUACAAUAGCAUGGAAAAAAGUACUGUACCAUAAAUCAUAGAAUUGAAUUUUGCAACAUCGGCUAGAAAAUUAUUUACAGCAAGUAUGAAGCGAUGUUCUUCUAACCCAUAUACAUUUCCACUGUGUUGACCAAAUAAUACACAAUAUCCAACACUUCUCAAAAAUAUGCAUUUAUCACAAAUCAUACACAGACACAAAAAUAAAAGAAAUAAUUA